rnacentral:tRNA from 1 species
UGCCCCGGUAGUUCAACGGUUAGAAUGUCGGAUUGUCAAUCCGAUGGCCGGGGUUCGAUUCCCCGUCGGGGCGU